rnacentral:lncRNA from 1 species
UGAGGACAAGGAGGUCCAGAGGGACAUGAAGCUGGUUCCGUAUAAGAUUGUUAACAAGGAUGGAAAGCCUUAUAUCCAGGUCAAGAUCAAGGAUGGAGAAACUAAGGUCUUCAGUCCUGAGGAGAUCAGCGCUAUGAUCUUGACUAAGAUGAAGGAAACAGCAGAAGCAUACCUUGGGAAGAAAAUUAAGGAUGCUGUGGUUACUGUUCCUGGUGAGUGAAAGUAUCAAUUUGUUUUGACUGAUUUUGAGCUUUAUACGCAAAUACUUUAUGUCUGCUAAUAUGGUCUUCCUUGUCAUAAUGCAGCCUACUUCAAUGAUGCUCAGAGGCAAGCUACAAAGGAUGCUGGUGUUAUUGCUGGACUUAAUGUGGCUAGAAUUAUUAAUGAGCCAACCGCUGCUGCUAUUGCCUACGGUUUGGACAAGAGAGGCGGUGAAAAGAACAUCCUUGUUUUCGAUCUUGGUGGUGGAACAUUUGAUGUCAGUAUCUUGACUAUUGAUAAUGGUGUUUUUGAGGUCCUUUCAACAAAUGGAGACACUCAUUUGGGAGGUGAGAAUUGGCUCUGCCUUAUCUAGUUACCUUUUCAUAUGUUUUGCAUGUUGCGAGUGUAUGCUUAUGUUACAUGUUCUUCCAGGUGAGGACUUUGACCAAAGGAUUAUGGAAUACUUCAUUAAAUUGAUCAAGAAAAAGCAUGGAAAGGAUAUCAGCAAGGAUAAUAGGGCUCUUGGAAAGCUCAGGAGGGAGGCUGAACGGGCCAAGAGAGCUCUUAGCAGUCAGCAUCAAGUCCGUGUGGAGAUUGAGUCACUUUUUGAUGGCGUAGAUUUCUCUGAACCACUCACCAGAGCUCGCUUUGAAGAAUUAAACAAUGAUCUUUUCAGGAAGACCAUGGGACCUGUGAAGAAAGCAAUGGAAGAUGCUGGUUUGCAGAAAAACCAGAUCGAUGAAAUUGUUCUUGUUGGUGGCAGUACUAGAAUUCCCAAGGUUCAACAACUCCUUAAGGACUACUUUGAU